rnacentral:ncRNA from 1 species
ACAAGCAAUAAAAAGCAAAGUUUUACACCUUUUACCUUUUGCAUAAUGAUUUAGCUAGUCAAACCGGACAAAACGAAUUGAAGCCCGCCUCCCCGAAACUUAAGUGAGCUAUUGUAGAACAGUUGACAGAACGAACUCGUCCUGUGUAGCAAAACAGUGAGAUGAUUUUACAAUAGAGGUGAAAAGCCUAUCGAACUUAAUGAUAGCUGGUUGUCCAAAAAAUGAAUUUAAGUUCAACUUUAAAUUUAAUUCAAGUACCCAUAAACAUCAUUUAAAUUUAAAUGUUACUCAAAAGAGGGACAACUCUUUUGAUAUGUAGACAAACUUUCAUAGAGGAUAAUGAAAUCAACACAAAACAUUGUAGGCCUAAAAGCAGCCAUCAAUUAAGAAAGCGUUAAAGCUCAAACUUAUCCAAUACUUAAUUCCCAUAUUUAAUCAAAAUCCCUUAUUUUAUAUUGGACAAUUCUAUUCUUAUUUAGAAGAUAUAAUGCUAAUAUGAGUAACCUGAAUGUAUUCUCCUUGCACAAGCAUAUAUACGACCGGAACAACCGCUUACACUUAACCAAACAAAUAAUCAUAACUACAUACUAGUACCUUAUUAUAUACUUUGUUAACCCAACCCAGGUGUGCAUAUAAAGGAAAGAUUAAAAGGAGUAAAAGGAACUCGGCAAAUACGAAC